rnacentral:rRNA from 1 species
GAUGAACGCUGGCGGCGUGCCUAAUACAUGCGAGUCGAGCGAACUGACGAGGAGCUUGCUCCUCUGACGUUAGCGGCGGACGGGUGAGUAACACGUGGAUAACCUACCUAUAAGACUGGGAUAACUUCGGGAAACCGGAGCUAAUACCGGAUAAUAUAUUGAACCGCAUGGUUCAAUAGUGAAAGACGGUUUUGCUGUCACUUAUAGAUGGAUCCGCGCCGCAUUAGCUAGUUGGUAAGGUAACGGCUUACCAAGGCAACGAUGCGUAGCCGACCUGAGAGGGUGAUCGGCCACACUGGAACUGAGACACGGUCCAGACUCCUACGGGAGGCAGCAGUAGGGAAUCUUCCGCAAUGGGCGAAAGCUUGACGGAGCAACGCCGCGUGAGUGAUGAAGGUCUUCGGAUCGUAAAACUCUGUUAUUAGGGAAGAACAAAUGUGUAAGUAACUAUGCACGUCUUGACGGUACCUAAUCAGAAAGCCACGGCUAACUACGU